UUUGAAGGUCGGACUGUGGCUCAAUUUUCUUUUUAUAAAAGUAAAAUUGAGAGGAAAGUCCAGGCAGCAGAAAACACGGUGGCGUAUGUAAAUGCGCUCCCCCCGUCAAAAAUUGCAUAUUUAGGCGGGGGGCAAGUCAGAGCAACAGUGACGAAUUUCUCUCCGCCUUGGUGGAGUGAGAAAGUGAAACGCUGACUAAUAGUCAGACGUUCUAGGUUUGAAAACCUGGAACUGUGGCAAUCCUCCCGGCUGCAAUCUUCGACUGAUUCGUUUAGGAUGUUUUCCCGAUCCCGCUUUGGUGGGACGAAUCAAAGUUAGAGAGCUUAGAGAAAUCACAGUCGAUAACAGAACCUGGCUUAUAGAUCUUUGAAGCAA
rnacentral:RNase_P_RNA from 1 species